rnacentral:rRNA from 1 species
GCAAGUCGUACGAGAACUCUUUAAGCUUGCUUAGAGAAAGUAAAGUGGCGCACGGGUGAGUAACGCGUGGGUAAUCUACCCUUGAAUCCGGAAUAACUCGCCGAAAGGCAUGCUAAUACCGAAUAAUAUCAUUUAAACCUUGGUUUUUAUGAUCAAAGGUGGCCUCUACAUGUAAGCUACCGUUUAAGGAUGAACCCGCGUACCAUUAGCUUGUUGGUGGGGUAACGGCCUACCAAGGCUACGAUGGUUAGCUGGUCUGAGAGGAUGAUC